rnacentral:tRNA from 1 species
UAGGCAGAAGCCAGUUGGUUUGGGCAUUUAGCUGUUAACUAGAGUUUCAUGGGAUCGAGACCCAUCUGCCUAG